GUUAAAUGGCUAAUUAUAUAUUUAUUUGUAUUCCUGUAUCCUGGCAUUCAGCUGAUAAGUAAUUGCCGUAUCAAAAGGCUAAGAUUUAUGUGCCUUUCGAAAAGAAAAUCGAAAUGCCAUUCAGUGUGUUGGUUACAUUUUUCCUUAAAUAAAGAAUACAGUGGCGAGUGGCUAGUUAAAUAAGUUUGGACAUAGCCCCCCCCAUGUACAUAGUACCACAAAAACAUUGUGGUUAAGCAAGGCAAGCCAGGUCUUUACUUUGCCUUCUUGCAGUUGAUUCAAUUUAAAUCAAAUAAAUAUGUGGACUCGGUGCGGUUUCCCUUUUCGUUUCUAAGCUAGCAACUGGCGCAGGACAGGUGAUCCAAAUGCGAGUUAGCUAACUGGAACUGCCUGUGUGUGUCGUAAGAGCACAGGGGGAGGAGGGGGACGACGGUGCACGAACCCACUUCGAACAGGUGAAAGCCCUGCCAGCAACUUGUUUGCUCUCCGAUUGAAAAUGGAAAGCCCGUUGCGGAUUUGAGUUCAAUUUCUGCUCCGGACUCUUGAAAGGUUCUCUCUGCAACGAAUUUCCAGUGGCGCAGCUAACCCAAAUACGAGCCGCGGAAAAGCGCCGCUAAAAGGGGUUUUUAUGCAAAAAUGUGAAGGCGAAAACUGGUUUUUGCCAGCCAGAAUUAGCC
rnacentral:lncRNA from 1 species